GCCGAGGUGGCGGAAUUGGCAGACGCGCAUGGUUGAGGGCCAUGUGGGCAUUACGCUCGUGGGGGUUCAAGUCCCCCCUUCGGCACCA
rnacentral:tRNA from 1 species